rnacentral:rRNA from 1 species
CACGGGGGGUGCAAGCGUUAUUCGGAAUCACUGGGCGUAAAGAGCGCGUAGGCGGUCUCUUAAGUCAGAUGUGAAAGCCCGGGGCUCAACCCCGGAAGUGCAUUUGAAACGAAGGGACUUGAGUAUGGGAGAGGGAAGUGGAAUUCCUGGUGUAGCGGUGAAAUGCGUAGAUAUCAGGAGGAACACCGGUGGCGAUGGCGACUUCCUGGACCAAUACUGACGCUGAGGCGCGAAGGCGUGGGGAGCAAACAGGAUUAGAUACCCGCGUA